CUCUGCUUUUCAUUUUACCCUUUCUCCCCCUUCUACUGACGGGUUGAUGGAUAUAUAGCUGCCUUUACCUUGUAGACAGCUGAAGAGGAGGAGCAGGAAAAGGAGGGCAGAUGUGGGAAAGUGAAUUCGUUAAGAGAUGAAAUUUUGGUGGUCCUAUCUAUGACUUCUCAAAUAGAUCUGUGAGAUCCCUUCAGUGAAGCAGAUUGUAUCCCAUCCAUGGCUGCCCAUACUGUAGUUCCUCACUGGGUAUGUGCUGCAGCCUGCUCACAUCUGCAUGAACCUUUCCUUGUUGUCUUUGUGAUGCUCAUUGCAGUGGUGUAACAGGACUGACUGUCAUACAGAAACACUGGUAAAAUGGGAGAAAGGAAAAAAAGAACAAGAGAAAGAGUUCAGAUUCCAGUGCCCUAGUGAACAUAUAUUGAUUUGAAGGAGAAAAGCAUAUGAGUAAAUUCCCUCCUGUUCCAAGUGAUAUGUGGAUGUGCUUUCGUGUGUCUGGAAACUCAGGGACAUGGCUAGACAACUCUUCCAAAAUUAUCACCACAAUUGAGGGAAUGACUAUCAAUUGGGGAAUGGCUGAACAAGUUGUGUUAUAUGAAUAUAAUGGAAUACUACUGUGCUAUAAG